CUCCAGCAAUUAAACCAGGUAAAAUGUGUAACCUAGAUUUAACUACAAUUCACAAAAAGACUGAAGCUCACUUUAAGAAAUCUAAUCAAACUGAAGCACUUUCCCUCUAUACUAAAAAUAAAUAGAUAGCUGCUGUCACACAAUGUUACAGUGCUUUUGGGUAAAAGACACCAAUCAUCAACAGGGCCACUUUAUUAUUAUUAUAAUUUUUUAACUGUAACAGCAAAUCAGCCAAUCAGUUGGCAGCAAUUCAAUGAUUUUAGAUGUGGUGCAAACAAUUUGCUGAAACUCAGAGUGAGCAUUAAGGUAGGUGCCAGAUGGGUUGAGGUGUUAUGGUGUAAAUGUUCCAGAAAAUGUGGAUCUGCUGUGAUAUUUUUCUGUAAAAUGAUCUUACAGGUUUAAAGAGAGUUCUCUGAAAAAAGAGUAAAUAUUGAGUGAGCAGUAGUUGUGUUGACCGAAAGGCUUUGCUAAUUUUAGAGGUCAGAGGACAAUGGCCAGACUAGUUCUGAAUGAUAAAAAGGGAACCUAUGCCUGUUACAACCAAGGUGCACAGAACACCAUAACUGAAUGCACAACAUGUAGAACCUUAAGGUGGAUGAGAUACAGCAGCAGAAGUGCACAACGGGUACAAGUGUUUUCCAACUAAGUACAGGAAACUGCACCUACAAUGGAACUCACACAGGCUCAUCAGAAUUGGAGCAAGACAGAUAGGAUCAAGUGUCUGUCAUUUUCAGGUUCUAUGUGUGGUGAUUUGAGCUGCAGCAGUCAGAUCGCAAGGUCAAAAUUUGGUUAAAAUACGUUGAAAGCAUGGAUCCAUCCUAAAAAAUACCAUUUGCCAUUUCACUAGCACAGAAACUGAUAACGUUUAAUGUGAACCAAUACCUUCCACAAUGCUGCAGGUAUCAGUGCUGCAGAAGACUGUUGGGAUAAAGUGGAACUGGACAUUUCCUUGAGGGAUGUGCUGCCAACAGCAACAAUGACUAAAUUCCUAUUAGCACCUGUUGUAACCAAAGCAGGCCUGAACCCUCAAGGCAUGAACUACACAACAGCGCUAUAUUAUAGAUCUCCAGCAGAUUUUAUGUAGUCUAUGAGUUUGAGCCUAAGUAGGUAGGCUUUAUUUGACCAACUCCUACUGAUGAUAGAUUGAAUGAGAUCUGGAGAAUCUGGUGACAAACCGGCACCACAUACUCCUUAUUGUACUUGAAGUGUGUCAGGGCACAUCAUCCAGCUGAAUCCUAGGUAGUCAGGAGGCACCCAUCCUGACUACCUAGUCAAUGUGUGUUUGUGGGCCCCUGAUAGAUUUUUGCACAAGCUGGAUGGUUGUGAAGGAAGACCCAUUUCGGUUAACCCUUUACAGUCCGUCGGCUGUUAAGUGUCAAAUCAUUUUUGCAACUAAUGCUAUUUAACAGGUCUGAGCUGUGGAUUUAGCUAAUGUGUGAUGCAAUAAGCCUACUAAAGAGAUAACAUGAAAAUGUGCUGCACAAUUAAGUCUAAUUCAGAAAACGUCUCAGAAUUUUAUAUGUCUCGUAACUAAGCAAACUUUACAUGACUCUACACGGUUAACCCUCCCGUCUCUGUUCACAAUCCAAAUAAAUCUGCUGGGUUAAUUCAUGGGGGAGAAAGAUAAGUAAAUAGGAAAAACACAGAUGUGUUAAUAAUGGCUUCAUUCACUUUAAACAAAGAACUGAUCUAGUGCAUCUAAAACAACUUUAACAUGGUUUCCUAUCUGACCAUGCAUUCUGGUGUUUUUAAAAACAUGGUUAUACAGCUGUACACAAGGGAAAUUGGGGUUGUGUCCUGUCAGGUCCUGAUGAUGGCCACCUGUGGAGUUGUGGGUGUGCCUGGAAACAGCCUAUCAGCUGUUUUACAGAUCUGCCAGAGAAGCUGGCGGAACACCUAAAAGGUGGAGAACUCACCACAGCAAAUAGGAGGGAGCAGCACAUAGCAGCCAGGCGUGGUGGGAGGUCAGACUGGGUGAUUGGCAAGUUUAAGCAGACCGAGCAGCGCGACGUGGACCAUGCCUGCAGCAGAAACAGCACCCACUGGAAAAACAACAUGUUGGAUUGACAGUGGGGCACAUAUGAAACUCUGCCUGCAUCUCCCAUGGCGAGUGAUGGGCGCUUGGUGCGGACCACAGCACGGAUGCAGUGAAGCCAAUCGCGAGACGGCUGCGGGGUGGAACGAAUAAAUGUACAUUCUUUUUGGACUUUGCUGGUGUGAUUCCAGCCUCUUAAGCGUCCUUUAAUCAGAAAUUGAGGACAUGAUUACCCUGGUCUGGAGGCAUGCCUUUUUU